ACGGGAGGCAGCAGUGAGGAAUAUUGGUCAAUGGGCGGAAGCCUGAACCAGCCAAGUCGCGUGAAGGAUGAAGGUAUUAUGUAUUGUAAACUUCUUUAGACGUAGAGAAAUAAGAGGCUCGUGAGCCUUGAUGCUAGUAUACGUAGAAUAAGGAUCGGCUAACUCCGUGCCAGCAGCCGCGGUAAUACGGAGGAUCCGAGCGUUAUCCGGAUUUAUUGGGUUUAAAGGGUGCGCAGGCGGUCUUUUAAGUCAGUGGUCAAAUCGUGGUGCUCAACGCCAUCCCGCCAUUGAUACUGGGAGACUUGAUUGCGGUUGAGGUAGGCGGAAUUCGUCGUGUAGCGGUGAAAUGCAUAGAUAUGACGAAGAACACCGAUUGCGUAGGCAGCUUACCAAGCCGUAAAUGACGCUCAUGCACGAAAGUGCGGGGAUCGAACAGGAUUAGAUACCCUGGUA
rnacentral:rRNA from 1 species